GACGAACGCUGGCGGCGUGCCUAAUACAUGCAAGUCGAACGCUUCUUUCCUCCCGAGUGCUUGCACUCAAUUGGAAAGGGGAGUGGCGGACGGGUGAGUAACACGUGGGUAACCUACCCAUCAGCGGGGGAUAACACUUGGAAACAGGUGCUAAUACCGCAUAACAGUUUAUGCCGCAUGGCAUAGGAGUGAAAGGCGCUUUCGGGUGUCGCUGAUGGAUGGACCCGCGGUGCAUUAGCUAGUUGGUGAGGUAACGGCUCACCAAGGCCACGAUGCAUAGCCGGCCUGAGAGGGUGAUCGGCCACACUGGGACUGAGACACGGCCCAGACUCCUACGGGAGGCAGCAGUAGGGAAUCUUCGGCAAUGGGCGAAAGUCUGACCGAGCAACGCCGCGUGAGUGAAGAAGGUUUUCGGAUCGUAAAACUCUGUUGUUAGAGAAGAACAAGGACGUUAGUAACUGAACGUCCCCUGACGGUAUCUAACCAGAAAGCCACGGCUAACUACGUG
rnacentral:rRNA from 1 species